CCUUGCCUACGGGGCGCAGCAGUGGGGAAUAUUGCACAAUGGGCGCAAGUCUGAACCAGCCAUGCCGCGUGCAGGAAGACGGCUCUAUGAGUUGUAAACUGCUUUUGUACAAGGGUAAACCUGAAUACGUGUAUUCAGCUGAAAGUACUGUACGAAUAAGGAUCGGCUAACUCCGUGCCAGCAGCCGCGGUAAUACGGAGGAUCCAAGCGUUAUCCGGAUUUAUUGGGUUUAAAGGGUGCGUAGGCGGAUUGAUAAGUUAGAGGUGAAAUGUCCGAGCUCAACUCGGGAACUGCCUCUAAUACUG
rnacentral:rRNA from 1 species